rnacentral:lncRNA from 1 species
AUACCAAUCUUUACGUUCGAAAAAGUGGAUUUCCCUCAUUUGAAUUUUAAUGCUCAAUCUUUUCCAGCUUAUACAGGAGGAGUGUUGGAUCCACCGCCAGAAGAAUGUCAAGAUAUAGAGAGGCUUCAUGCGGGAGUGAUAGUCGGGUAUAACGGCGACGAAUUACUUAUGCGGAACUCUUGGGGGACGGAUUGGGGUGAGAAUGGUAACUUUUGGAUUAAAGCUGGAGUAUGUGGGCUUGGAAACGAAACGUAUGCAGUAUCCGAGUGGAGGAAUUUGGCGGUUUAAGUUUGGUUGAGAGGACAUCAAGAAAAUAGCGUGAUCCAUGAAUUUGUGCUUGUCUCUUCUCUAUGGUCAAAGGGAGCGUUGUGUUGCUGCAAUACCUCACUCUAACUUAAGUGCCGCUGUUUAAGUGUUUAAUCAUAACCGUGACUAAAAAUUUAGAAAUAAGUAUGAAAGAAAUAAAAAGAUUAAAUUAUGAAAAUAAGAUCAUGGUACUCACCGCUUUAAUUCAGUCGCUUUUUUUACAUUACUAGAACGAAAAAUAAUUGGCUACUCUCAAUCACGUAAAGGACCAAAUAAGGCUUUAAUUAUAGGGAUUACUCAACCUUUUGCAGAUGCCGUAAAAUUAAUCAAUAAAGAGAUAAAUUUAAAUUAUAAUUCAAACUUUAAUAUUUAUAUGCUAGCGCCAGCUCUUAACAUUGUCUCUUCCCUAGUAACAUGAAUUAUUUUCCCGUUUAAUUAUUCAUUCAGUUUUAUGAAAAUAUCGGUGUUGAUAGUAUUAAGAUGUAUGGCAUUUAAUGUAGUAACUAUUAUAAUAAUAAGAUGAUCAUCAAAUUCAAACUAUGCUUUUAUCGGAAUAAUCCGAACAAUUUCACAACUGAUUUCAUAUGAAAUUAACUUGAUUUUGAUUUAAUUACAGUGAUUGUUAUUACAGAAAAUAUAAAUUUUUUAUAAUAAAUAAAGUUCAAAAUAUGUAACUGUUUUAACAAUGUUGUUUCCUCUGGUGAUAAUUUGAGUAUCCACAAUCUUAGCAGAAACUAAUCGAACCCCUUUCGAUUUUUCAGAAGGAGAAUCAGAAUUAAUUUCAGGUUUAAUAUUGAAUAUAGAAGAACUGGAUUUAUAAUACUCUUCCUCUCAGAAUAUUGUAGAAUUUUGAUUAUAAGAUUAAUAACUGUUUGUAUAUUUUUAAUGGUAGAUCACCGUCAGCCGGUAACGCAAUAGUCAACGAUGCUGAUAAUGGUCGAA